GGGGACUUCCGGUGGCGCUGCCUUGACGCGGGGUUCCGCUGGGGGUCGCCGGGCAACGCGGCGGGGACGGGAGCCCUCCGGGCUGUCUGGGAGCAGCCUGGGGUGGAAAUGGCGGCACGAAGGCUGUGGCAGGGGAAUGCUGAGGGGAAGGAAGGGCCCCCUUUGAGAGCGGGGGCUGAGCACCUUCCAGCACGAACAUGAGGCUCCCGAUUCUCUCUGUGUUUGCCCUGUCCUGCGUGGCCUGCUGUGAGGAAGAUCACUAUUAAUCACUGUUAAACGGAUACGCUGUGGAGGAGUGGACUCAGCAGGAUAUCAUCUACGCCGCUGGCUCCAGAUACGGAGCCAUCGGAUGAUUCUUUCCCCCUCCGAGGAUUUUGGCGUUGUCUCUGGCAUGUUCAUUGUCAAGUGCCUCCAGAUCGCUCGUUUCAGAUCUCAGAGUCAGUAAUAUCUCCCGCGCUGUGGUUCCACGGCCUCUCAAAGCUGCUUGCUUCAACUUCACCUCUACUGCCAUGGCGUACCUGGCGCAGGAGGGCGGAUGGCUCACGGUUGGUUUUGUGAGUGCUCCUGGGUAGGGAGGAAUCCUGGCUCAGCGUGAGUCUGAUAGGAGGUUCUCGCCUCGCUUCCUGGAGUGGGCAGUUUUUGGCGUGAUGACUCUGCCCUCUGUCGGGAUGCCGCUGUGGUACUCGAGCGAGAGAAAAUACGACACGCUCAAGACUGAGGAGAAGCGAGCAAAGUCAAAACAGCACCAGCACCCCGGGAGGGAGCAAACACUGACCCACCCGGAGCUGCCGGCGUGCUGGGAUCGGCAGCAGUCUGCAGAAGUGCUGCCUGGGCUACGCUUCAGCCCUGUCGCUUCCAUGGCACCGGUGCGUUGCCUCCUGCCUUAAUAAAAAAGAAAAAAACCCACCGAAAAGCCCGCAGCCGGCCCCCAGCGCAGAGUCCCCUUGCUCUGUUGCAGAUAAGCUGCGACACCAACGUGUGAACACCCAGCGGAGCUUGUUUGUGGUGGGGGGGUGUGCAGCUCUGCAGCGUUUCUGGCGUCUGUGCUGCCAGGCGAACCUCAGCCCGCUGCAGUCUUCUCCAACACCGCGACUCUUGAGGGGGGGGGUCCCCUCCUCCAGGUGCUGCCCGCCUUGCCGAAACACCGGUGGGAAGGAAGGAGCUCCACCUCGUGCUGAUACCACAUCUCUCGGUGGGCACGGGAAGCCCCGUUGUAUUUCAGUGAGCGGUCGUAUGCUCUGUCUGGUUGUUUGGGGUCGGGUUUUGUUGGUUUGUUGGGGGUUUUUUUCCCCUCUUGUUGCUCCGUUGAGGAACUGAGGGCUCUGUAAUAAACCAAAUGCCACGAAAG